rnacentral:snoRNA from 1 species
AUCCCAUGAUGAGGACACCUAUAAAGUAACUCUUUGAAUCACUCCCAAGCCUUAUACAAAGACUCGUCCUUCAGUUGUUGGAAAGUUGUGAUCUCAUUCCUCAAGUU